rnacentral:rRNA from 1 species
UACGUAGGUGGCAAGCGUUGUCCGGAUUUACUGGGCGUAAAGAGCGCGCAGGCGGUCGUUCAAGUCGCGUGUGAAAGCCCCCGGCUCAACUGGGGAGGGUCACGCGAUACUGAUCGACUCGAAGGCAGGAGAGGGUAGUGGAAUUCCCGGUGUAGUGGUGAAAUGCGUAGAUAUCGGGAGGAACACCAGUGGCGAAGGCGGCAUCCUGGACCGAGAUUGACGCUGAGGCGCGAAAGCCAGGGGAGCAAACAGG